CCUACGGGGGGCAGCAGUGGGGAAUAUUGCACAAUGGGGGGAACCCUGAUGCAGCAAUGCCGCGUGGGUGAAGAAGCACUCCGGUGCGUAAAGCCCUGUCAGCAGGGAAGAAAAUGACAGUACCUGGACAAGAAGCCCCGGCUAACUACGUGCCAGCAGCCGCGGUAAUACGGAGGAUGCGAGCGUUAUCCGGUUUUAUUGGGUUUAAAGGGUGCGCAGGUGGGCUGUUAAGUCAGCGGUCAAAGCCCGGGGCGCAACCCCGGACCGCCGUUGAAACUGGAAGUCUUGAGUUGGAGAGAAGUAUGCGGAAUGCGCGGUGUAGCGGUGAAAUGCAUAGAUAUCGCGCAGAACUCCGAUUGCGAAGGCAGCAUGCCGGCUCCACACUGACGCUGAGGCACGAAAGCGUGGGUAUCGAACAGGAUUAGAUACCCCUGUAGUC
rnacentral:rRNA from 1 species